AGAGUUUGAUUAUGGCUCAGAUUAACGCUGGCGGCAGGCCUAACACAUGCAAGUCGAGCGGUCACCUUGGUGACGAGCGGCGGACGGGUGAGUAACGCGUGGGAAUCUACCUGGUAGUGGGGGACAACAGUCGGAAACGACUGCUAAUACCGCAUACCCUUCGGGGGAAAGUGGGGUCUUCGGACCUCACGCUAUCAGAUGAGCCCGCGUCGGAUUAGCUUGUUGGUGAGGUAAAGGCUCACCAAGGCGAUGAUCCGUAGCUGGUCUGAGAGGAUGACCAGCCACACUGGGACUGAGACACGGCCCAGACUCCUACGGGAGGCAGCAGUGGGGAAUAUUGGACAAUGGGGGCAACCCUGAUCCAGCCAUGCCGCGUGUGUGAGGUCGUUGAGCACUUUCAGCUGUGUUAAUACAACAGCAGAAGAAGGACCGGCAACUCCGUGCCAGCAGCCGCGGUAAUACGGAGGGUCCGAGCGUUAAUCGGAAUUACUGGGCGUAAAGCGCGCGUAGGUGGUUCAGUCAGUCAGAUGUGAAAGCCCCGGGCUCAACCUGGGAACUGCACCUGAUACUGCUGAGCUAGAGUACGGUAGAGGGUAGUGGAAUUUCCGGUGUAGCGGUGAAAUGCGUAGAGAUCGGAAGGAACACCAGUGGCGAAGGCGACUACCUGGACCAUACUGACACUGAGGUGCGAAAGCGUGGGUAGCAAACAGGAUUAGAUACCCUGGUAGUCCACGCCGUAAACGAUGUCAACUAGCCGUUGGGGGACUUGAUCCUUUAGUGGCGAAGCUAACGCGAUAAGUUGACCGCCUGGGGAGUACGGCCGCAAGGUUAAAACUCAAAUGAAUUGACGGGGGCCCGCACAAGCGGUGGAGCAUGUGGUUUAAUUCGAAGCAACGCGAAGAACCUUACCUACUCACAUCCAGAGAACUUUCCAGAGAUGGAUUGGUUCGCUCUGGAAGGUGCUGCAUGGCUGUCGUCAGCUCGUGUUGUGAAAUGUUGGGUUAAGUCCCGUAACGAGCGCAACCCUUAUCCUUAUUUGCCAGCGAGUAAUGUCGGGAACUCUAAGGAGACUGCCGGUGACAAACCGGAGGAAGGUGGGGAUGACGUCAAGUCAUCAUGGCCCUUACGAGUAGGGCUACACACGUGCUACAAUGGGGUAUACAAAGAGCAGCGAUACGGUGACGUGGAGCAUCUAGAAAAUGCCUCUCAGUUCGGAUUGUAGUCUGCAACUCGACUACAUGAAGUUGGAAUCGCUAGUAAUCGUAGAUCAGAAUGCUACGGUGAAUACGUUCCCGGGUCUGCACUCACCCCCGUC
rnacentral:rRNA from 1 species